CUCUUUUCUGGUUGACUAACCUUUUUAUAUAACUCUAGUGUGGGGUAUACUGUGGGAUCUUAUAUAAAACACUGAAGUUACCCAAAUGUAACUACUGGGAAGAACAAACUAUCAUUUCUAAUGUGAGGUAUGUGAAAAAAAGCCCUUUCACAUCAUUUUGUUUUCUCCUCAAAGCUGUUUAUCAAAUGGUGUAAGAUUCCCAGCUUACGUUAUUUUUCCUAGGAGUUUCAUACAAAGAGGAUUUUUCCGGUGAUUUCUCGCAAGAGGAGUAAGGUUCUAUAGCAAAACAUUACUAAAGAUCAGGUAAAGAGCUAAUCUGGCAUUAAUUUCAAUGCAUUAAUUCAUUUCUAAACCCAUAUUAUUAACUCUGUUACUUUCCCAGCCCUGUACUAGAGCUGAAAGUAGGACAUCUGUAAGCCCAGCAAUUAAACAAAUUAACAAAACCUUGUUUUAAAAAAGAUUUUGUGCAGCAGUGGUACUGCAAGUUCUAAAAAACCAAAAGUGGGUGUUUUUUCUCUGCUUUUCAAAGCUGAAGUCUGAUUCUGCUGUAAUGUGCAUCACGAUCCUGUGUCUCCCAUGUUGCAGUAGCAGCAACAAGCUUCACCAAUUGCCUUGUAAAAACAGCGUUCAAACACUGGUACCACAGAAAAACUAGCAGAGCAGUUCUGAUGUUCCUGCCAUCCAUCAGAGUCACCAGCCUUCCCACUUUUUCUUGUUGUUGUUGUUGAGGACAUAAAUUAACCUAUUGUAGUUCAGGUGCAAGCAAGCUCAUUGAUACGUGCAAUAUAGUCAGCGGGAUCUGAGCUUUUAGAUCAGUGUUGGAAACGUUGGAAACUUAGGACCAGGCCUGCAUUAGGAAGUUUCGCUCUCAUUACAAUGUUAGCUUGGGCCUGCAAAAUAAUCACAUGUACCCAGUGGAGCUCAGCCAGCAAAACUCCUGGGGUGGACACAGCUGUGCUGGCAGCAGAGCGCUGCUGCCAGAUUAACUUGUCGUGUUCAGGCCUGCAAAAUCCCCUUCAGUUGGCAUACCUUGCACCUCCAGUGAAGAGCUCUGCUGUUACUGCUGUGCUGGGUAUAACCUAACACUGACUAUAACUGUAGACAAAUCCUAGAGUAAAGCGUACGUUGGUGAGUAGCUUAGAUUUAUGUUGUGUGAUAACAAAGAGGAGAACAAGAUAUUGAGGACAAGAUGCUAAGACCAGCAAUAAGAAUUGUUUGCAGGGCUGGUAAUAAGGGUCCCUUUGCACUGGAAGAGCUCCUUUGAAAAAUUCCCACUCCAUAAAUCAAAUUGUUUUCUGGAAGUUACAUUUCUUGUGUGUGCCAGUUUCCACCGGCUGCAGGAACAUCUGCUGAUGUGACUAGAUUUUCUUUAUUUCAGAAACACGGAGUGUGUACGCCCUCGCACUGGUAGCUUUCUUAUGCUGAACAGUGUCUAUUACAGGAGGAUUGCUCCUUGUAGUAGAAAGGACUUGGGUCUACAGCCAGAUCACCGUGGGACUGUAAAUGGUGUUUAGCAGAUACUACAGGGAGUAAGAGUGUGCCUGCUUCACAAUCACAGUAAAGGACUACAAAAAAAAAAAUAAUAUGGCAGUAUAUCAGGUUCAAAGUAUUUAUCCUGUCAUCACAUGCAUCUGCCUUAGGUUAUCAGAAAACCACAGAGAAUUACACCAGUGAGGAAAUAUUUGAAGGUCAGUCCAGGAUCAGUCUGGGUGACAGGCAAGGAGUGUGCUUUUACCAAACUUUCUGUCUCUGAUAUGUGUUGAUGUAGGAGCGGUCAUGUGUUCCUGGGAGCCGACAGCUCCAGAAUUCAUUAGUGUAUGUGGACUGGUUUGGUUGGUCUUUCUUCCUGAUGUGAAUGUGAGAAGGCUCAGACUGUGGUUGCAGAGAAACAUGACUGUGAUCAAAAUCAAUUGUCCUAAGCACUUCAGCAUGGAAAACAGUACAAGAAGUAGAGGGCAUCAAAUAGAGUUUAAAUUACUGAGCACAUAGAAAACACCUCUUGAUCAGGAGGUUCCUGAACUGGAGACUGAGAGGUUGGUUGAAUAUUCAGGGUUAGCUGUCCACUGUAUUGUGAAGUUAUCUAGUGCAAGAAGCCUUCUAAAAGGACCUGUAGUCAGAGGAACUCCUAUCUACUCUGUAAAAUGCAGCAAGAGCAACAUCAGCUGUCUGCUUAAGAACUUGAAAAUGUGGAAGCAAUGACAUGCAUUCAGGGAACAUUUUAGAGGACAGACAUCGAGGCUGGCUAAAAUAACUUUUUAUCCUACAAAAUACAGUAAAAAAUAAAAAUCCUACAAUGAACAGUUGGAAAAAAAGCAACCAAACAAAAAUACUCACAGUGUCAGUCCUGAUGAUCUUACACUUGACUUUUUUUGCAUCUCCUGUGAAAUCCUGGUCUGAUAUCAGAAUCACAGUCUUCAUCACUUACCAUUCUAGCCCUUUUGGCUACAGAAGAAGUUGGGUAUGUGAAUUCUAACAUCUGAAAAAAAGAAGACAGCAAAUAAAAUCCCACAACUCUAUUUUUUUAAUAAUCUCAAAUCUGAUAAUAUAAUCUUUCAAUUUUAGAAGAGCCCGUUUAGGCUCUUGGAGCUAGAAAUAUCAAAGCUAUACAGCAUAUCUAUACCAAAACAUUAUGCUUUCUUCAACAACUUCAGCUUUCUAGUAAUGUAUAGCUCCUGUGCUAUAUUUUUUUAGGAGCACCAAAAUUACUUGCGAACUAUGUUACUAAACCAGCCGUCCACACAUACCUUCAGGUACUCCAUGCUCCCUAGAUCUCUGGAUGACUGCAGCAAAAGCUGUUGCUGUAUCUUUGUCGAGCUACAGAGCCCACGAUUUUAUGCUGCCCUUUUCUUCAAGCAGUUUUCCUCCAAAGAAAAUGUUCUU